UGGUUGAGACUACGACGGU
rnacentral:misc_RNA from 1 species